UAAAUGUGUUUAUUGAAUGACAGUUUUUUUUUUAAUCAAAAAUUUUUAAGUAAUGUAGUUGAAAAAUCUUUUGUUACGAUAAACACACAAACUGGUGGUGAUUUGAAACAUAAUGAAAUGUCAAUAGUCAUUUACCUGGUAACAAUUAGUCUAUUGUUCAAAGUUUUUACUACCAACUGGCCUCUUUGGUUUCAUAGCAUUGCUGGACAUAACAGUGCAAACUGUGAUGCUACAGGAAAAAUUUUUAAUAUCAAUUUGACAUGAUAUGUGUAGUUGAAAUGUGUUUCAAUAAGAAUUUGUGUUUUAAAGUAAUAUAUUUUUAUGGAAAUAUUGAUUGAGGAUACAAGGUUUUUUUUGCUAGUGGAAGAAGGAAAAACUUAAGGAAAUUUUCUAGAGUAAAGAUAGUGGUGUUACCCUUAAUGAAUUAGUGUUUUUCUCAUCUGUAAAUCAUGUUGCCCCCGUGAAAUUCAUAAAAGGAAAGUUCACGGAGGGUUCAGCUUUCUUAUAUGUCACGUAGAGAUGUUAGUUUGACAGAAAAGUAUUUUUGUGAAAAUUAAUAUUUCAGGUUUUUUACUGGAAAAUUUUCAGGAAAACUGGAAAAUUUUCCAAGUAAGAUUUCACAGAAACCACACAGUUAAAUAUUAUCUACAUUUGUUUAUACAAAUGGAUCAAAAUAAAAAAUACUUUUUUGUCUUUAUUUACCACCUGAUGGGACACUUAACAUUUGAAAGUUGGGUAGGACUCAUGCUACCAUUUACAAACUGAUAGGAAAUUUUUUUUUUGUAAACAGUACCUACCAAUCUGCAGAAAAUAAAUUAUUGUUUAAAGUAUAUCAACCUAUCUUAAAUUGUGUUAUUCUACGUUGGUAAUGGAAAAAAGGAAAAUAUUUUGGGGAAAUAUGCGAUUGCUUUUUUUUUAAUGUAAAAUUUUCUAUACACAUCUCUAAUUGUCACUGCUGUAAUGAAAUAAAAAAAUUAAAUUACUUUAUAUAAAUUUAAAUUUGAUAGAAUUUUUAACUCUGAAGGACUAGACACAAGAGUCAUCAAAAAGUCACGUAAUUUAAAAGUUAUGAUGCUGGAAGUCACAAUACUUUAAUAUUAUUAAAAAAAUCCUUAAUUUGUCUAAAAUUUAUUAAGGGCCCUUUAAAGUUGUUAAAUUUCACUAAGAAUCCUUAACUCCUUAUUAAAGACUGAUAGCUUACAAGUAAUGCAUAAAUGCAGGUAUUUUAAUGUUCUUUUUUUUUCCGACUUGGCAGCAAACAAUGAUUGGUGUAUGCCGAGUACAAUUUGCAAAUUUCAGGCCAUGUGAUUAUAUUUUAUAUAUAAAAACGUUUUUCAUAGUUUGUAUCUUACCUUUCAACUCAAAAAGGUGUGUUUUAUGAUUUUACUUUGAAUCAUAGUAAAUGGUAGGGGUAUUAAAUUCAGAUAAACACUGCUUGGGUUAGAAGUGCUCCAGAGAUAAUUCUGAACAAUAGGGGCUUAUCUGUAAGAAUUGUACUCACCAACUAAAUGAUUUUUUGUUCAUUAACUAUUAACAUUGUCAUUUGCUUGAGGUACAUUUGUGAUUACAAAUGGUUUUCUACCUUUUGAUAGUAAAGAAAUCCUUAAAAAAAAAAAAAAAAACCUUAAUUUUUUGAUAUCUCAAGAGGGUAUGAACCAUGUUUUUUGAUGGAUUACUUAAGUUUAUAGUUGCACAUAAAAAGUAAGUACAAUUGAGAAUGACCACUUAUAUGUGGAAAUUAUAACUGAAAAUAUUUUAGUUGGUUUGAAAAUCAGUAUGUUCCUGCUAAUUGUAGAAAAAUUUGUGUUAUAUUAGUUCAAGUCUAAUUUUGUUUGUGUGUGUUGUGUGUGUGUAUGUGUAUAAAUUAUAUUUUGAUAAAAAGAACUUAUAGGAAAAAUUUUAUUAAAAGAUCCUGGAAAAGUUAGAUAUAGGUUCACGAGGUAUUUUUUGACAUGUGCCAGGGCAGAGUGCAUCCGCAAGCGGGCUCCCCCCCCCCAACCCCCACACUGCCCAUGCAUAGAAUGGCAAACUUCAGCGUCUUGGCCACACAGUGCAAAGGCGGUGUGGGAGCGGCUGCUGAUAAGGCAUGUUGUGAUUGAUAACCCGCUAUCUGCUGUAUCACCAGAGGCGAGACAGUGAGUGGCCUAAUCUCCACCCCGUCGUCUGUCGUGUUGGUCGUCGUGUGUCACUGUGGCAUGCGGCCCUGAGCACGUAGCGUCGGCAUGUUUUCUGCGCGAGUGGCAAUAACAUGGCCGCCGGAGAUGUGCUGCUCGGCAAACUGUUGCUCACACUGUAUCACAGACACUUGCGUUCCACACAGCCGUCCACCCGUAUUUGCCUUGUCGGCGAUGUUUGCAAUGACGAAGAGCUCUCCGUGGUGGCACAGGCAUUCGGUCUCCCGGUGGUGGUGUCGGAGACUGGUGCAGAAUACGUGGAAGAUGACAGCCAUGUCACAUUGUUCGUGCUGCGAGAGUUUUCAGGGCCCACCUACGACGCCCUUGCACGUCUGAAACAAAGGAUUGUGAGCCCGAUAGUCCUGAGGCAGUGCGCCGUCAGAGGGGAGCCUCUGCCGUGCAAGAAGUGCCCCGUGUACAGCCUCACCAUGUCCGGGGUGGUCGUCUGCUUCACGGGCUUCCGCGUCAAGGAAGACCUGGUGCGGCUGGCGACGUACGUGCACAGCAUGGGCGGCGGUAUCCGCCGCGCGAUGGUGACCAAGGUCACGCACCUGGUGUCCAACUGCUGCAUGGGGGAGAAGUACCAGUACGCCGUGACCUUCCGGGUGCCCAUCAUGUCGGAGGCGUGGGUGAUGGCCUGCUGGGAGCGCCGCCACGACCUGGCGGCCCACGCCGCCAGCGAGGAGCUGAUGGCUAACAAGCUGGACCUGUUCCACGGGGCACGGCUGUGCUUCUACGGGUUCACGGACGACGAGCGGGAGCACAUGGCGGAGAUCCUGCAGGAGAACGGGGGAGUGGUCGUCGAACUGGCCGACAAGAGCUGCACGCACGUGGUGGUUGUAUCCGGUGAAAAAUUCAAUGUGCUCAAGGCUAACCUGGUGGAUCCCGACAUCCGGAACCCCGCCCCCGUCCCCUCGACGGAGUGUCCCCGGGGGGAAGCGGCUGGGACGUCGACCCCUCGGGCCCGCCGCGAGCGGCCGCCCACCCCUCCAGUGGUGUCGCCGGUCGCACGGAGCCCGAGGGUGGCGUCCUUGCCGCCGCUGCCCCCCAGGUGUCGCCCGCGCUCGUCCCUCCCGGCGUUCCUCUCGUGCGGCGGCCGGCCCUCGAGGCCGGGCCCCCUCUGCGACAUCGCGGAGGACGCCCCCGCCGACAAGACCCGCAGGCUGUCCCUCUCCCACACCUCCCCGCACUCCCUCCCCUGCCAGCCCCCACCGGGGACCCGGGAAGAGGAGCGACCAGUAACACAGCCGCGGGUGGUGGACGAUGCGACCGUCCAGAACCUCCCCGAGGCCGAGACGGAGGACGAGUCGUUCAGGGCGCACGUCGUCAAGGCCGAGUGGUUCUGGCAGUCCAUCCAGAACCAGGUCUGCGCGGACGAGAAGGAGUACCUGUUCGAGGACUACUUGGAGUCGAUCAUAUCCCCAAACCGGUCGGGGGCCAUGAGCGGUACACCCGGCUCGUCACUGCGCAACCGCAAGCGCAAGCGGCUGCGCGACACAGUCUCGCGGCUGCUGCAGACCUACGAGUCUCCGACCACGCAGAAGCGGCGUUCGUCCGUGAGUGACGCGGGUCUCCUCAGCAUGAGUGGCUCUUUCCUGGACGCCUCCGGGACCAGCGCUGACCGGCAGAUCGACGAAGAGGCAGAACCAGUUUCGUCUGACACUCCCAGGAAGAACCAGAGUGCAAGGCAGCAAGUGUUCAUGGAACUUGUCCAAACAGAGUCCAAUUACGUCAAAAUCCUGGAGACCAUCAUGGUGGUAUAUAAGGCACCGCUAGAGGACCGGCUGGAGACUGGCGACCCGCUGCUCAGCAAGGUCGAGCUGAACACUGUGUUUGGUAACCUGGGGCCUAUAUACGACAUCCACAAGAAGAUGCUGGCCGACCUCCGGUACGCCUACCACAACUGGAGGGAGGACUUCAGCAUCGGCGAGAUAUUCCUCAAGUUUGCCCCGGACCUGGUGAAGGCGUACCCCUCGUUCGUGAACUUCUUCGAGUGCACCAAGGAGAUGCUGCUGCAGUGCGACCAGACGCGGCCCAGGUUCCACGCGUUCCUCAAGGUCGGCCAGAUGAAGCCCGAGUGCGGGCGGCAGAGCCUCCAGGAGCUGCUCAUCCGACCGGUCCAGAGGCUGCCCAGCAUCAGCCUGCUCCUGAACGACAUCCAGAAGCACACCGCGAAGAGCAACCCCGACCACGCGGCCCUGGAGCAGGCCCUCAGCAAGAUACGCGAGGUCAUGACCUACAUCAACGAAGACAAGAGGAAGACUGAGUCGCAGAUGGUCAUGUUUGGCAUAUACAACGAAAUUGACAGCUGUCCGGCGUAUCUGGUUUCGUCUCAGAGGCACUUCGUAGUUCGCUGUGAGGUCAUGGAACUUAGUGAGGGUCUCAGUGGGAGAGGAGACAUCCUGGUGCUUCAUCUCUUCACAGACGUGCUGGAGGUGUGCAAGAGGCGGUCUAAAGUGUUCAACUCCAUGAAGAGUCCCAACACCACUGGAAGCACGCUGUCCUUGAAGCAGGGGAACUGCAAGCCGUACAAGCACAUCCGCCUCAUGCCCCUGACGCACAUCAAGAAAGUCAUCGACAUACGGGAGACCGAGGACUGCCACAAGGUGUUUGCGCUGAUGUGCCGCGUCCCUCAGGAGCUGAAGGAGAGGGUGUUCUCCUUCACGAUGCUGGACGACGACGCGGACAAGGCCGGCCUGCUGAAGAUCUUCUGCCGGCAAGUGGCCAACGCCUUCUGCCGCACGGACGCUGAAGAGUAUUUGUCGACACUGGACUCAAACCAGUUGGACAUAGACACCAGUGAUGCUUUGGGAGGCACACUAAGCAAGGCGUUCAAGUUUGCAUCUCGGACGCGCAUGAAAGUGGGGCGGGCGUUCAGCUUCAACAAGACGCCUGGCAAAAUGAAGCGAGCAGUGUCGACGAUGGUUAGCCCGUUUGGCAGCACAACCAACCUUACCCCACCAUACCAUCUGUCGCAAAUGAGGCUCGCCAGUUGCAACAACCUCAGUGAGUUGGCGGGACGCCCGGCGCGGGAGGAGACGUACGUGGCCCCCAUGUCGGUGCAGCCCACCAGGAAGAACAAGUGCUCGUCGAUGACCAUGCCUUCCCUCCGCAGGUUAUAACAAUUAGUACAGGGAAGAGGGCUGACGCGCGAAGACUGGUGUCCAGACUCACUGGCCUUGCUGUAUGAGUUCCUUCGCCUCGAUGCGAGGUUAAACUACCUCCAGCAAGACACCAAGAAGGUUAUCAAGUCAUCGUAAUCGGUUGAUCGCUGAUGAUCAGCCUUUUCCACAGCCAGCGUCGUCGUCUUCCCACUCUCGGAUGGUCCUAACUUUCGUUCCCCCCCCCCCCCCAGUUUUCUUCCUCUCGAUCUGGGGACUGUCUUGAGGCCCGCACUCGGUCAGCUGUGUGGGGCUCCAGUUAUCAUGCCUCCCUCUGGCUAGAACUUCUCUAUGUGUGGGCUUGCACUUCAUCAAGGCACGUUUGCAAGUGCAGACUGUUAGUGGUGUCAUCAUGAAUUAUUGGUCCUAAUUUAGUUAUCUGCACCAAAUAUAUAGAGUUUCGUAGUAUGAAAUAUUUUUCUAUAUGAAGUUUUACAUAGAUAAGUAACUGCUGAAGGGAAAUAAAUUAUGAUAUUAAGUAUGUUACUUUUAAGUUUGUUCCCAUUGUGGAACCUUAAUCUUAAUAAAUUAAUAGCACUGAAAUAAACAUUAAAAAGUUAUUUAAGUAGCACUUCUUUUAGCUGCAAUGCCAAGAAACUGCAUCGUUUUGUAAAAUAUUGCACAUUAGAUUUUAUGCUGGCAUAAAACAUUUUAUAAAAAUAUUAGAAAGAUCAGGUGUCCUUUAAAAAUUUAAUGAUAUUUGGUACAAAAAAUAAUUUUCUUCGUCCAAAAUGGUCUCUUUUUAAGGUUGUACAUAUUCUAAGCAGUGCUCAGCUGUGAAUGUGAAGAAUUACCAUUUGUGUGAGCAUUGCACAGUGUUGUGAUAGUUUUGAAUGUAUGGUAAUUUGUUUUCAGUUAGAGAGUGUAACAGUAUUUUGUGAUUUUAUCUAUUUGUGCAGUUAAAGAUGAUUUAAUCGUACAGAGAGAAAGCUUUGGGAAACUGAAAUGGAAUUUUAUCCUCCACUAUCAAAAUUUUAAUUUUUAAUAUGUAUAAUUUUGUUUUAUGCAUAUCUGUAAUAUGAAGUUGACAAUAUAUUUUAAGGCAUACAUAUUCAGACAAACAUCUUUGUAGUUUUGUCAUUCAUUAUAUAGAUUUAUAUGUCAGAAACCAAUGGUUGUUAAUAAAAAAAGUUUUUUUUUUGUGUUAAAAUAUGAGAAAAGCUGUGCAUAAUUUUGAUAGAAAAGAAUUGAACUAAGCCAAAUUACAUAAAAUUUUCAUAAGAGUAUGCAGUUAUGAAUUAGUACAGUAUGUGCUGUAAAUUUAAACAUUGACAAUAGUAAGCUUACAAAAUUAUGAUAUACACUUAUGAAAGCAUGUAGGAGCAGUCAAAAUAAAUGUGACUUUGGUCCUUUCAACUAAUCUCUGCAUUCAAAAUAAAAUUUACAGUUUUUUUUUUUUUUUUUUUUAAUCUAUAACUGUCUGUUGAAUCAAGUUUACUUCAUUACUUAUUUUUCUAUGAGCUGCUUUCUGACUUGAAAAGUGAAACAAUAGACUUUAAAUUUUUUUAAUUUGUGACUGUUAGGAACAGAAGUUAUUGAACUUUUGGGUACUACUCCAGUGAAACAUUUCUGGUUAUUUUGCAGUAUUCUGUGCUACUUAUUUUCUGUGGUCACUAUUCAUGACCAUGUAGAAGCACAUCAAAGUUUUGCUGGUCAGCAAUGCUGAAAGAUGGUCACAAAUAAGAACAAGUUACAACACGACCUUAUAUCUCCUCUUUAUUACUGUUACUCUUCAGUUAUUUUGUGUUUAGUUUGGGUGUCUUUUUUUCAUUAGAUACUUCCAAGAUUUAUGAAGCUGUAGUUUUAUUAUAUUUAAUCAAAAAAUUUACAAGCAGUUAUAAAUCUAAACCAGUUUGUAAAUAUUUGACUACACAUUUGUGGCAAUUUACAAUCGAGAAUUUCAUGUCAUAUCCUAUGUAUCUAUCAUGCAUGACACUUAUCGGUUUAUAAAUUUUGAAAAACCCAAAACAUUGAAGAAAUUGACAUCAGUAGCUAGUAAGGUAUGUACUAGCGCUACUUAGUUAUUUUUGUUACAGUCAAGUUAAAGAAAUUUGUUUUAGGUAUCAUCAUAUUCAUUAUUUAGAUCUGCAGUGUUGUAUACUAUUUGCAUGAAAAAAAAUUCUGUAUUUCAUUCAAAGCAAAAAAGUUAUUAGCAAUACAGUAUUUCAUAGCCUGCUAUCAUAGAAAAAAUAUUUUUGUAUUGCUGCCAAUUAUUUCAGUAAAAACAAAAUUUGUACUUGAGUGUUAAGUUUUGACAAAACAACAAAAAAAAAAAAAUUAAUGUGAAUAUUCUGAUGCGUACUAUGGCAAACGGUUACUAUCUUCGCCUUUUUUUUUUUUUUUUUUUUUGUGUAUUUCCUUUAAUGCAUGUGUGAUCAUUGUGAAUUUGUAAGAACUUGAAAAAAAUGAGAAGCCAGGCACAAAGUUUGAUAAUUUUCUAGUAAGCUUAAUCAAAAGAAUUUUGAUUUCUCUGUUCUCAUUGUCAAUUUUUUAUAGUGUGGUAACAAAUUAGUAUAUAUUAUUAUAAAAUAAUAUUUUAAGUCUGGGGAAUUGUAGAAAUAGAAAUCUAAAGAUGCUAUCUUGGCCAUUAAAUGUUUUAUAUAGUUUAUUGUGAUACUCACAUUUUUCAAGGGGUAAUGUGCACAUUAACAGAUUUUUCUGAUAUUAAAUGAAAUAUUGUUGAUAAUAUUACUAUAGUGGUAGUCAUUUCCUUAAAAAUUAGUUUAGUAGCACACUGAACACUGAUGAAUUCAGGGAACUUUUAAGUAUUUAUUUGAAUCUAAGACUAGUGCCUUUUUUGAUCUUCUAGUUUCUAUAAAUGGAAAAUUUUAACCUUAAAAUUUAAAAUGCAUUUCAAUUUAAGUAGGUAACAUGUGUUUGUAAAAAAAUGGAUGUGUUGGUAUAGAUGCACUAGUGCUUUCAGUUUGCUGAACCUACAGCAUGCUCAGAAGGUUAUGUGCACAGGCUGUACUUUUUGAACUUGAUUUAUGUGGCUUCUACGCCCUUAACUCUUCAACUGCAUCAUUUGACUUAUACCUCACAUGCAUAAAAUAUUGCUUGCUAGUGGUAUGUGAUUUUUGUUGAUGGGGUGUUUUCCAUCACUGUGAUGCAUGUCUCUGGUCAAACUAGUUUUCAUUUGGUGCAGCCAGUUGUAAAAUGAAUAGUUCGAAGUGGCAUGUCUUUUUUUUUGUCAUAGAAUCGCGUAUUUACAUAUUGUGUGUAAUUUCUCUUGUGUUGUGAUUUUUGCCUGCAACCCUAGACUGCUUGGCACUGAAGGCUACACUUUUUGGAUAAAAUUGACUUUUUUUUCUGCAGCAAAAGAGUUAAGUGAGUAGAGAUUCUUCUUUGACAUGUCAAGUGAGUGGUACCGUUCUAAAAUGUAGGUUAUCCUUGUCUUCGCUUACAGAGUGGUCUACCUGUGGUUAUCAACAUUUCAUCUUGACAUGACAGUAGACUGUUCGCCCCUUUUUCUCGUGCCACAUUCUGAUCUACCAUCUUGCUAAAUAACAGGGACUACUUAUUACAAAUGUGAAUAGUUUUACUUAUUACAAAUGAAGAUGAGUUUCUCUGCAAAUGUUAGGUUACACCUGCCACAAAUAUCAGUCUCUAAAUCCUUUUUGGAGCAUUUUAAAAUCAGGUAACUUUGAAAUAUUAAUUUACAUUACAUUUCAUGCUAAUUUUAACUGACUAGAGUAAAACAGUAGGUACACAGCCCUUUAAUUUUUGGAUAUAAAAAAAAUUUCAAGUCUUGACUGAAAAAAUAUUAGCAGUUUUAAAAAUGUAGAAAUGAAAUAUAAUAUGUAAGUUUUGACUUCAAAUUUAGGCCUUCUUAGUAAUUUACUUGUUUACUAAAUAUAUAUAAAUAAAUAUGAUUAUAAAGGUUUUUACUACCAGUUAAAAAAAAAAGGAAUGUAUUUGUCAUCAUUCUCUAGAUUUUCUGCAUUUAUUACACCCUGCAAUUAAUCAGAUAAGUGCAUUGUCAGACCUGAAGAUUUUAGCGUUCUGCGAUUCAACGGGGCAUUCAGCAGUGCCGAUUCCAUCUACUCUUGUAAACAAAGAUUGCCCAUUACAGCUUUAUUUGCAUCUAUCAUUUUUUGUUCUGUUUUUGAGACCAAAGAACAACUUUGAUACACAGCUCAUAGAUUUCUUCUAUGAACUUCUCUACAUACAUUCACUUUAAAUCUUUCAAUUCUCCUUGUCACUUUUUGUUCACAAUUGCUGGAGAAUAAACCUCUGAAAAUUUGGUUUGCCACACUGUAACCAUUUUAACUCUGCUACAAAUUUUUACAGUGUAUUUUAAGAUGUACUGGUGAUAGCUUUUGUUUUUUCACAAUCCUAACAUAUCAAAAAGUCACAUAAUUUCUAUUAAUAAACAUGGCAUCAAAAAACCUGAAAUAGCAAACAACUGAUUAAUUCCAUUACACUUAUGAAGUUUUAACGUACCAAAAACAUUUACCCAAAGGCAAUAUAUAAUGCUGUAACUUCAGUACUUGUGUGAAAUAAUGCUCUGGGAUGAAUGUUUUUGAUCUGUUUAGUCAAAAACUUGGAAGUGUUGUUUCAUCAGUUUUUCAUCAGCUGUCUCCAUGUUUACGAGCGGAACAUAAUUUAAGUGGAAAAAUGCCAGUCCAAUCUUUGUAAAUAUUUAUGAACUUUGCUGUUUUUUCGUCAAUCGGUUUUAAUCUUGAAAAGUAUUUGAAAACGGAAAUAAGUGCAUGAACAGAAGGUCUGUGUUAGGCAGUCAUUAGUCCUAUUGUAAACUAUGCAUCCUUUUCAAUCUCUGUAACUCAAAAAAAAAGUGAAUCUUAAAAUUGAAUAAAUUUGGCAAAUGUAAAACUACAUCAAUUGGGAGAUGCACCCCAUUUUCUGAGCUUCAUGAGUCAUAUAAGUAAGUAAGCUUCUUAUAAGUAAGUUAUGACAUAAAACUUAAAAACAAAAACCAAAAUGGCUGGAUUGUUUUUUUUGUUUUCUUUCUCCCUAUUUGUAAUGAUGCGUUCAUUUUAGAUUCUGGUAAAUACUGUAAGUUGAGGGUAAAAAUUUGCCAUCAUUAUGAGAUACAAGCAGUUAUUCUAGAUAUCCAUGUGAUUCGACCGCUCUCUAUGGCCAGAUGAACGGGAAGGCAGUGAGAUACAUGAAUGCUUUGGAACACGCCUGCUAAACUGUCACAAUACUUUGAUGUAACCACGUAGGUAGUCCCAGCGAUCCAAGCUUACCUUCGAAGUAUGUAGUGGUUACAACCACGAUAUUGGGUACAGUUUCAACAUUACCUCCUGUGAAGUAUUGCUGACCAGAAAUAAAUAUUUUUAUUUAUAGGUCUUCUUUUAGCAUUUUAAUGGGAAUUUCAAUUCAGCUUUCUUUCAGCAAAAAAAUGCACAGUAAUUAAAAAAUUAAAUUAAGCAUUUGGAUGUAAACAUUUAUGGUUUAUUACAAAAAAAUAGUUUGAAAUGCCUUCUCUUUUUUUAAUGAAAAAAUAUAUAUAUGUACAAGUGUUUACUGUCAGUGAUGUCCAAGUAUUGUAAUUCUAAUUUAAUUUUUAAGAGUUGAUGUAGAUGCAAGAAAACGGUUGACAAAUUAUUUUGUGAGGUAAACAAUCUUUUUUUUUUUAAUUGUGGAGUGAAUGCUGAAGGUUACUGUAGUAUUUUCAAGUGAAGGAUAUGUGUUGUGUUGAUAUAUUGCCAUCAACACUGUUCGGCAAGUAUUUGUAGUUACUUUUAUAAAGUGUUUUAGGUUUCUAUAGUGUUCAUAAAACGUGUUGGCAGGAUGCUAAUGGCAGCCAGAGUUGUGAAUGUAUGGUGUGCCCCCAAUUGUAAAUAAAAAUUGUUCUCCACUGUUAUGAAUCGGGCAGUAUUCUACUUCUAAAUAAACUGGUGCUAUUUUAUAUGUUGUCGUCUGUGUGUGUUUGUGUGGUGUUAAACGAUAACCAAUGUGUAUUUCGGGAUAAUAUGAAACUGAAGCCUUUAUUUGUAAGGCAAAGUUAAAGCCAUGUAAGAUUAAUGCUAUUUUUUUUUUCCCUGAACAUAAUUAUUAAUAUGGUCUAUAUCGUUAGUGUAUAUAUAUUUUGUUUAAAAAAUGUAGCUUAAAAUUAUUCUCAACAGAUAUGCAAAUAAAUAUUAGCUAAAA